CAAUUAAUUUAUUACACCUUUACCGCAUCUUAUAUACAUAAUAUACAUACAAAAUUGAUAUAUUGUAUAUACAAAAUAUAUGUAUUAUAUAUUAUAUAUAUUAUAUAUAACAUAUACACGUGCAUAUACAAAUCGGUGAAUAGGAGAUAAGGUUUUGCUAAGACGAAAAUCCAUGCGAUCGCGCGGAUCGAUCGAUAGGAAAGGAACGAUCGACGCAUGGAUCCGUGAUCCGCGCGAUCGUCGGUACAAUGUGUACAGCGAACCGGUGGGAAAGAGGACGAUAUUCUAUCGACAAAAGAUCCAGACAGUAUUUUAAAAUGACAUAGUUAGCUUAGUCGUCUACGUAUUAAUGUAUCUACCCCUAUACGCGCACGCGUGCACGCGCGGGAAAUUCGAAAACAAAACGAGAAAAAACAAAACAAUAUCGAACGAACGAUGGAAAAAAUGCGUGCACGCGGAUACACACACACACGUACACGAGAAAUAUUGUAUCGUUGUCGAUGUCUACGAUUGUUAAAGCGGAGACGCCUGGCGCCGAUGACCAACAAAAUCCUCCCCCCCCUCUCCUCCUAUCCCAACUCCGCAGCGUCGCGACGCCGCGCGUCUCCACUCGUGUAAUUCACGUUUCAAUAAUAUUUAUUAUUUUUUAUAAUAGCGUAUACGGUGUAUGUGUUUCCUGUCGUGAUUACCCACACUUCUCCUUACCUCUCGAUAGAUGUUGAAGAAAAAAAAUAACAAAAAAAAAAAAUAAAAAUAAAUAUAAUAAGGGAGGGAGAAGAGCACGGAGAGAAUGAUUACGGAUCAAAAGGCGAGGGAUGAUUUUUAUCGACGAAAUGCUGCUUCGUCUCCCUCCCCCUCCCUUCAGGAGUCUUAAUUAAUUCCCUAACUAUUACGUUGUUACUUGGAACUCGUUAGAUCGCGGCGAACCGCCCCGCGAGCCCGAUUGUUUAACUGCAUAUACGAUCACCGAUGUAAAACCGGGUCGUUGCCUCUAACCCUUCCACUGCUGAGGGCACGCUUCUUAACUCUUUCCCAAGUCGCAGGAAUUCUGUUCGUUUCCCGUACGCGG